UUGAGUGGGGACUCUCUGUGGUUUCCCUUUUGACCCAUCCCAAGCUACGGUUUCCUGCCUUGUAUGAGCGCUGCUGCUGAGCUGAUCUAUUGGUGAGGCAAUUCGGAGGGCUGGUUGAGGGACUCUGGGUUAAAUUUCCUUUGUGUUCAUGACAAACCCGUAUAAACCAUGCUGCUACGGAACUGCAGCAUUUUUCACUAUAAUUCGACACUCUCGUUAUUCCAGAAAAACUCACCACUGCUGUAUCUCCACUUACUUUUUUUUUUUCCUGCUCUGUCCCACUUCCAUCAUGUGAUGCUGGACAUUGCCAACAGAUGACUAGAUUAAUUACCAGCACCUGAAAAAAGGGAAAAUAUCUAUUUUUAAAGAAGAUCCUGAAUUCAAAAGAUUUUUAAAAAAUGUGACUAUUUCUAGAAACAGAUGGACUCUUGGCAAGGAAUUUGCAGCAUAAAUUCUUUGGAUGCAAUAUAGGCAGGGAUUACCAAGGCUAGAAGUUUGGAAGACCAACAUGCUAGACCUUGCCUGAGUGUUCCCUGAAUCUGAAGACUUCUUUGUGCAAAGAAACCAACUGGCAUUACUUCUGUGGGAAAGGUGUUUUGUGAGGCAGUAGCUGUUUCGGAAGGGUAACUCCCCACUGUUGACACUGGCCUGUGAUG